AUUGAACGCUGGCGGCAGGCCUAACACAUGCAAGUCGAGCGGAUGAAGGGAGCUUGCUCCUGGAUUCAGCGGCGGACGGGUGAGUAAUGCCUAGGAAUCUGCCUGGUAGUGGGGGAUAACGUCCGGAAACGGGCGCUAAUACCGCAUACGUCCUGAGGGAGAAAGUGGGGGAUCUUCGGACCUCACGCUAUCAGAUGAGCCUAGGUCGGAUUAGCUAGUUGGUAGGGUAAAGGCCUACCAAGGCGACAAUCCGUAACUGGUCUGAGAGGAUGAUCAGUCACACUGGAACUGAGACACGGUCCAGACUCCUACGGGAGGCAGCAGUGGGGAAUAUUGGACAAUGGGCGAAAGCCUGAUCCAGCCAUGCCGCGUGUGUGAAGAAGGUCUUCGGAUUGUAAAGCACUUUAAGUUGGGAGGAAGGGCAGUAAGUUAAUACCUUGCUGUUUUGACGUUACCAACAGAAUAAGCACCGGCUAACUUCGUG
rnacentral:rRNA from 1 species